rnacentral:rRNA from 1 species
GACGAACGCUGGCGGCGUGCUUAACACAUGCAAGUCGAACGGAAAGGCCCUGCUUUUGUGGGGUGCUCGAGUGGCGAACGGGUGAGUAACACGUGAGUAACCUGCCCUUGACUUUGGGAUAACUUCAGGAAACUGGGGCUAAUACCGGAUAGGAGCUCCUGCUGCAUGGUGGGGGUUGGAAAGUUUCGGCGGUUGGGGAUGGACUCGCGGCUUAUCAGCUUGUUGGUGGGGUAGUGGCUUACCAAGGCUUUGACGGGUAGCCGGCCUGAGAGGGUGACCGGCCAUAUUGGGACUGAGAUACGGCCCAGACUCCUACGGGAGGCAGCAGUGGGGAAUAUUGCACAAUGGGCGGGAGCCUGAUGCAGCAACGCCGCGUGCGGGAUGACGGCCUUCGGGUUGUAAACCGCUUUCGCCUGUGACGAAGCGUGAGUGACGGUAAUGGGUAAAGAAGCACCGGCUAACUACGUG